rnacentral:rRNA from 1 species
GUCUAUGGCCAUACCACCCUGAACACGCCCGAUCUCGUCUGAUCUCGGAAGCUAAGCAGGGUCGGGCCUGGUUAGUACUUGGAUGGGAGACCACCUGGGAAUACCAGGUGCUGUAGGUU